GACGAACGCUGGCGGCGUGCUUAACACAUGCAAGUCGAACGGAAAGGCCCUGCUUUUGUGGGGUGCUCGAGUGGCGAACGGGUGAGUAACACGUGAGUAACCUGCCCUUGACUUUGGGAUAACUUCAGGAAACUGGGGCUAAUACCUGCUAGGAGCUCCUGCUGCAUGGUGGGGGUUGGAAAGUUUCGGCGGUUGGGGGUGGACUCGCGGGUUAUCAGCUUGUUGGUGGGGUAGUGGCUUACCAAGGCUUUGACGGGUAGCCGGCCUGAGUGGUUGAACAGCCACAUUGGGACUGAGAUACGGACCAGACUGCUACGGGAGACAGCAGUGGGGAAUAUUGCACAAUGGGCGGAAGCCUGAUGCAGCAACGCCGCGUGCGGGAUGACGGCCAUCGGGUUGUAAACCGCUUCCGCAUGUGACGAUGCGUGAGUGACGGUAAUGGGUAAAGAAGCACCGGCUAACUACGUG
rnacentral:rRNA from 1 species